rnacentral:rRNA from 1 species
UUACCUACGGGGCGCAGCAGUGAGGAAUAUUGGUCAAUGGGCGAGAGCCUGAACCAGCCAAGUCGCGUGAGGGAGUACUGCCCUAUGGGUUGUAAACCUCUUUUGUCGGGGAGCAAGACCCGCCUCGUGCAGGCGGAGCGAGAGUACCCGAAGAAAAAGCAUCGGCUAACUCCGUGCCAGCAGCCGCGGUAAUACGGAGGAUGCGAGCGUUAUCCGGGUUUAUUGGGUUUAAAGGGUGCGCAGGCGGACCAUCAAGUCAGCGGUAAAAUCGUGGGGCCCAACCCCAUCCCGCCGUUGAAACUGGC